CUGCAUCUCUUACGUCUCUCCUGCAUUGACAGGGGGUUCUUCACCACUAGCAACACCUGGGAAGCCCAAAUUAGCAAAUGAAAGAAGCCAAAUCCAGGACUGGGUGGAACCAAUUACAUCAGAAGCAGCCUCUAGAAAAUGGUCAAGUGGUCUGCUAACUUGCCUCACUGGAAUCCAGAAUUUCUGGGCCUCAGAGAGACCAAUUCAGUAUCUGCGUUUUUAUAAGAUCUCAGGCGAAUCAUAUGCACAUUAACUCCUCAGAAGCUCUGCUUUCCUCCCAGGCGCUCUCCUGUUUAAACUUCUGCCUCACUUAAACCUCACCAGAACUCUAGAAUGCUACUCCCAGCUCCAAAGGUGUGUCUUCCUCACUCCCUUCCUGAACUUGAGUCAUCUCAAAACUGCAGAGGUCUCCCUCACUCGGCCUCCACCCGCGAACACCCCCAACCAACCUGUAGGACGGGUCAAACUCUGAACACUAGUGGGGA